GUCGUCGGUGCCGUGUUCUGUGACCGACUCGGCCCGCGCCCGCCGGUCUGUCACAGAACACGGGACCGGCCGCAG
rnacentral:pre_miRNA from 1 species